CGUGAGGAGUGUUUAAGCUCCAUGAGUGCGACAAACUGUUGGAUCUCCCUAAACCCUGUUAUGCAGAAGUUUGCCAGAAAGCCCAAGAGGUCAGUAUAAGAUGAAUAUUGACAGAUUGGAUAAACUUGUGCUGAGAGAGCAAGUGAAUUAUACUUGAUCUCUCUGGUCUGGGAAGUGUUCAUGUAAAUUGAAAGAACUGAUGUGUCUUUUGAAUUAAAUAAGUGCUUUGAUGAUGUAAUGAGCCAAUAAAAAUAGUGAUGUGUUAUGUCAUAAAUUGUGUUAAUACACAAACUCGAUUAGCAUUAUUACAGUGGUCAAAAUAUUUUAAUUUCAUGUUGACUGGGUUCUAGUAAAUACUUUGUGGAGAAAUACUAAGGAAGUCAUUUGUGACAUUAGGUUACAAUAAGAUGGUGACUUCCAUCCCAGCUUUGCUUUCUCACUCUGUUAAAGCAUAGUUUACUCUAUGGAAACCAGCUUCCUGUCAUAAGGCAGCCCAGAGAGAAGGAACAUAGUUAUGUGUUGUGAAGACACUCAGCCUAUCAAGAGGUCCAUGUGAUGAGGAACUGAGGACCACUAGCAACUUUGAGGGAGUGUGGAAACAGAUCUUCCCCUGUCAACCUUGAGAGGACUACAUCCCUAUGUAACAGUCUGACUGCUACCUCUUGAGAGACCCUGAGGCAUAACCACCCAGCCAAGCCACUCCCGGACACUUAAUCCACAGAAACCAUGAACCAAUAGAUGCUGAUUGGUUUAAGCUGCUAAACUUGGAACAAUUUAUUGCACAGCAACAAAAGAGCAGAUCACCUGCUGUUAAUUUCUUGCAAUUUUGAAAGCAACAAUUCCCUGCAAGACAUUAAAAGAAACAACUCUUUAAGGUGGAAGUCUUCCAUAGGAAAAUAUAGAAUGAGUUGCUCAGAGGAGGGGACAGCAGAUGGAGCUGCUGGCAGUCAUUUCAGCAGGUACAUACAAGGAGCUACGAAUGGAUUAGAGUCUUUUGAUAACAUUUUUGAAUGACUGAUUCAGUCAUAUUUGAGGUCCCUGUUAUUUGCACAUUCCAUGAACCAUUUCUACUGAAGGAAAUUUUUGUUGGCUUUCCUGAACAUAGAACCAAAGGAUCUUGGUAGAAAAAAAGAAUGCUAAUUUGAAAACAAAAUUUGAGAUAUUUCUGCCAGAAACAAAGAAUAUUGAACUUCCCUCAACAAGAAAGCAAUGCAUAUUUUGGAAACAACUGAGGGUUAAUCUGUCAAAUUGUGUUACUUGUACUGCUUUAAGCAGGAGGAUUAGAUGCAACAAAAAUCAUAUUAUGCCUUUUAUCUGUCACAGAUCAAUGGGGUUGUUGAAAGCUGAGUUAUGAAAAGAGCAUUGAACCACAAGUGUAAGAAGAAAACAUGGGAAAUCUUAAGCAAAAAAUGGUAGGAUCCAAUUUAUAUUUUUAAAGAUCAUUCUGGUUGUUGAGAUGAGAACUG
rnacentral:lncRNA from 1 species